ACGAACGCUUGCGGCGCGCUUAAUACAUGCAAGUCGAACGAGGUAGCAAUACCUAGUGGCGCACGGGUGAGUAAUACGUGGAUAAUCUGCCCUUCAGUGGGGGAUAACCAUCCGAAAGGAUGGCUAAUACCGCAUGAGACCACAGUCCCUGCGGGGACAGAGGUUAAAGAUUUAUCGCUGAAGGAUGAGUCUGCGUGAGAUUAGCUAGUUGGUGGGGUAACGGCCUACCAAGGCAACGAUCUCUAGCUGGUCUGAGAGGAUGGCCAGCCACACUGGAACUGAGACACGGUCCAGACUCCUACGGGAGGCGGCAGUAGGGAAUAUUGCGCAAUGGGGGAAACCCUGACGCAGCGACGCCGCGUGAGUGAUGAAGGCCUUAGGGUCGUAAAGCUCUGUUGCACGGGAAGAAAAAAAUGACGGUACCGUGCGAGAAAGGAUCGGCUAACUUCGU
rnacentral:rRNA from 1 species